rnacentral:lncRNA from 1 species
UCGUAUCCAGGAGGCAAUACUGUAGGCGGAGCCAUUGUACGCAGCUCAACCAUCCCCAACUUGAGUAGUUCGGGUAACAAUUCUGCGUAAGACAUUGGUAACGGGUCAAAUCUUCUAUCAGGCUGCAACCUCUGUCUUGGCUGAUAAGGACGUUGCUGUUGUUGCUGUUGUUGUUGUUGCGGUUGUUGAACCCUUUGUUGUUGUUGACGAGGUUGAGGUGCAGGAAUGGUCACUGCAGCUACUGGGCGAUAUUGAUCUAUGUUUGCAUUUGCUCUGUACACACCCCCUCUGUGUUGUACAGCGUU